rnacentral:rRNA from 1 species
CUGGUCUGAAAUGCAUGAGUGCACCCUGCCAUAGCAGCGUCUUCAGUGUGAUAAGUAUCUUCACUGACCCAAGCUUCCUCUGUGGAACACGCUUGUCUGGUGGGCUCUGGGCUUCCAACUGUCCCCAUGGACAACUCUUGACAAUUUGACCUCAAAUCGGGUGGGAUUACCCGCUGAACUUAAGCAUAUCAAUAAGCGGAGGAAAAGAAACUAACAAGGAUUCCCCUAGUAACGGCGAGUGAAGAGGGAAAAGCUCAAAUUUUGAAUCUGGUACCUUUGGUGCCCGAGUUGUAAUCUAGAGAAGUGUUUUCUGCCUUGGACCACGCAUAAAUUCCCUGGAAUG